rnacentral:misc_RNA from 1 species
UAGGCCCUCGGCAUAGUCUCA